rnacentral:tRNA from 1 species
GCCUCCGUAGCUCAGCGGUAGAGCAGCCCUCUUAUAAGGGGAAGCGCGCCGGUUCGAAUCCGGCCGGAGGUA